AUUAUGUGUCCUGGGGAAGGCCUAGGAAGUGAAGCGGGUUGGGAGUUCCUGCUGGGAGCUAUGAGUCAGGGAGAUUUGUGAAGAUGUGGAGCCUCCCUGUUUCCAUUUUUGGAGUAGAAAUGCUAACCCACUACAUUUUGGAAGUACCACUUGAUUUUAUGAAUUUUACAGGUAAGAUUUUGCCUUGAGUCUUAGAGGAGACUGUGGAUUUG